AGCUCUGUGCAGUAGCAGUAUCGUAGUCAAUGAGGUUUAUCCGAGGCACGAUUAUUGCUAAUAAUUGAAAACUUUUCCCAAUACCCUGCUGUGACAACUUGCAACAUAGUUGGCAUUGGCAAUUUUUUACAGUCUCUAUGGAGA
rnacentral:snRNA from 1 species